rnacentral:rRNA from 1 species
UACGUAGGGGGCGAGCGUUGUCCGGAUUCAUUGGGCGUAAAGAGCUCGUAGGCGGUUCAGUAAGUCGGGUGUGAAAUCUCCGUGCUCAACACGGAGCGGCCACCUGAUACUGCUGUGACUCGAGUCCGGUAGGGGAGUGUGGAAUUCCCGGUGUAGCGGUGAAAUGCGCAGAUAUCGGGAAGAACACCAGUAGCGAAGGCGGCACUCUGGGCCGUGACUGACGCUGAGGAGCGAAAGCGUGGGUAGCAAACAGG